CGUAAGAUGUGAGGAAGGUGGGGAUGACGUCAAAUCAGCACGGCCCUUACGUCCGGGGCUACACACGUGUUACAAUGGGGGGUACAGAAGGCAGCUAGCGGGUGACCGUAUGCUAAUCCCAAAAUCCUCUCUCAGUUCGGAUCGAAGUCUGCAACCCGACUUCGUGAAGCUGGAUUCGCUAGUAAUCGCGCAUCAGCCACGGCGCGGUGAAUACGUUCCCGGGCCUUGUACACACCGCCCGUCAAGCCAUGGGAGCCGGGGGUACCUGAAGUACGUAACCGCAAGGAUCGUCCUAGGGUAAAACUGGUGACUGGGGCUAAGUCGUAACAAGGUAGCCGUACCGGAAGGUGCGGCUGGAACACCUCCUUUCUGGAGC
rnacentral:rRNA from 1 species